GGUUGGUUAGCUCAGUGGUAGCGUGCUGCCGUGGAAACCGAAAGGUCGAGGGUUCGAAUCCCUCUGCCCCCCG